AUAACAUACGUGAACACAGUGCGCAUCGUCUAAUUUGUUAAUUCAGUUUCCAAGUGAAUGUGUUAUCAGCUUAGAAACUUAUCCAAGAGCUAACAGGGGGUAGCAAUUCACUCUAUUUGCUUUGGAAGACCUUUAUAAAGCAAAGGAAUCUCCAUUACUAAGAUUAAGGAAAUGGCCACAC